rnacentral:rRNA from 1 species
AGAGUUUGAUCCUGGCUCAGAUUGAACGCUGGCGGCAGGCCUAACACAUGCAAGUCGAGCGGAAACGAUGGAGCUUGCUCCAGGCGUCGAGCGGCGGACGGGUGAGUAAUGCAUAGGAAUCUGCCCGGUAGUGGGGGAUAACCUGGGGAAACCCAGGCUAAUACCGCAUACGUCCUACGGGAGAAAGCAGGGGAUCUUCGGACCUUGCGCUAUCGGAUGAGCCUAUGUCGGAUUAGCUUGUUGGUGAGGUAAUAGCUCACCAAGGCGACGAUCCGUAGCUGGUCUGAGAGGAUGAUCAGCCACAUCGGGACUGAGACACGGCCCGAACUCCUACGGGAGGCAGCAGUGGGGAAUAUUGGACAAUGGGCGAAAGCCUGAUCCAGCCAUGCCGCGUGUGUGAAGAAGGCUUUCGGGUUGUAAAGCACUUUCAGUGAGGAAGAAGGCCUUGGGGCUAAUACCCCCGAGGAAGGACAUCACUCACAGAAGAAGCACCGGCUAACUCCGUGCCAGCAGCCGCGGUAAUACGGAGGGUGCGAGCGUUAAUCGGAAUUACUGGGCGUAAAGCGCGCGUAGGCGGCGUGAUAAGCCGGUUGUGAAAGCCCCGGGCUCAACCUGNGAACGGCAUCCGGAACUGUCAGGCUAGAGUGCA